UACGUAGGGGGCGAGCGUUGUCCGGAUUUAUUGGGCGUAAAGCGCGUGUAGGCGGCUGGGUAAGUCGGGUGUGAAAGCCCUCAGCUCAACUGAGGAAGUGCGCCCGAAACUGCUUGGCUUGAGUGCCGGAGAGGAUGGCGGAAUACCCCAAGUAGAGGUGAAAUUCGUAGAUAUGGGGUGGAACACCGGUGGCGAAGGCGGCCAUCUGGACGGUAACUGACGCUGAGACGCGAAAGCGUGGGUAGCAAACAGG
rnacentral:rRNA from 1 species